rnacentral:rRNA from 1 species
AGAGUUUGAUUAUGGCUCAGGAUGAACGCUGGCGGCGUGCUUAACACAUGCAAGUCGAACGAGGUCCAACCUUCGGGUGAAGACCGAGUGGCGAACGGGUGAGUAACACGUGGGGAACCUGCCCUUCUCUCUGGGAUAACCUCGGGAAACCGAAGCUAAUACCGGAUACUCCUUGCGGACCGCAUGGUCUGCUCGGGAAAGCUCCGGCGGAGAAGGAUGGCCCCGCGGCCCAUUAGCUUGUUGGCGGGGUAACGGCCCACCAAGGCGACGAUGGGUAGCCGAGCUGAGAGGCUGAUCGGCCACACUGGGACUGAGACACGGCCCAGACUCCUACGGGAGGCAGCAGUGGGGAAUCUUGCGCAAUGGGCGAAAGCCUGACGCAGCAACGCCGCGUGCGGGAUGAAGGCUCUCGGGUCGUAAACCGCUUUCAGCAGGGAUGAAAAUGACAGUACCUGCAGAAGAAGCCCCGGCUAAAUACGUGCCAGCAGCCGCGGUAAUACGUAUGGGGCAAGCGUUAUCCGGAUUCAUUGGGCGUAAAGCGCGCGUAGGCGGCUUGUUAAGUCAGGCGUGAAAUCCGGGGGCUCAACCCGCGGCUUGCGUCUGAAACUGGCAGGCUUGAGUCUGGUAGAGGAAAGUGGAAUUCCUGGUGUAGCGGUGAAAUGCGCAGAUAUCAGGAGGAACACCAGUGGCGAAGGCGGCUUUCUGGGCCACGUCUGACGCUGAGGCGCGAAAGCUAGGGGAGCGAACAGGAUUAGAUACCCUGGUAGUC